UACGUAGGGUGCGAGCGUUGUCCGGAAUUAUUGGGCGUAAAGAGCUCGUAGGCGGUGUGUCACGUCGGCCGUGAAAACCUGCAGCUUAACUGUGGGCGUGCGGUCGAUACGGGCAUCUCUGGAGUUCGGCAGGGGAGACUGGAAUUCCUGGUGUAGCGGUGGAAUGCGCAGAUAUCAGGAGGAACACCGGUGGCGAAGGCGGGUCUCUGGGCAGUAACUGACGCUGAGGAGCGAAAGCGUGGGGAGCGAACAGG
rnacentral:rRNA from 1 species